AAGAGAAAGUGAAAGUAAGAAGUUUGUACUCCGCGCCCCUGACGCUGCAGUACGUGCUGUUCAGGAAGAGCUGCGUCACGAUGCGUCACUGUCACGUUAGGCACAGGUGAUGAUGGGACACAUGGUCACGAGGAAGGCUUUGGGUCAGUGUGGACCUUGGAAAAUUCACAAUCAAAUCACUGACAUGGAGUGGCGAGCUGUCCUUCUUGGAUGUAUUGGAGACCUAUAUGGACACCCACAAUCUUCUUGUUGCCAGCAGCACAUGGAUUAAUUCAUCAAACUUCAGUGGAUUGACCCAGUGACAAGGAUCUUCUGUUGGACCUGGUUUGGACCUAGUUUGGACCUGGUUUGGACCUGCAACAAGGCGUGUCCGACUGGGAUUUCCCUGAUCCUGGUCUAGACUAAUGAUUCAGCACCGCCUCCUCAUUGUCGUGCUGUUGCGUCACGUUUUCCACUGGGAGUACUAAUCAAGUCCACGUAAU